UACAGAGGCCACGAGCGUUGUCCGGAAUCACUGGGCGUAAAGGGCGCGUAGGUGGCCCGUCAAGCGCGCGGUGAAAGCCCGGGGCUCAACCCCGGGUCGGCCGUGCGGACUGGCGGGCCGUCGAGCACUGUAGGGGCGGGUGGAAUUCCGGGUGUAGCGGUGGAAUGCGUAGAUAUGCGGAGGAACACCGAUGGCGAAGGCAAUCCCCUGGGCCUGUACUGACGCUCAUGCACGAAAGCGUGGGGAGCAAACAGG
rnacentral:rRNA from 1 species